UGAGUAAUAAAUGACAGAAUUUUCAUUUUUGGGUGAACUAAGUUAAAAUGUAUAGACAUUUUAAAAAAGAAAUCAUUUAGCUCCAGAAAAUCAGUUAUGAGGUGGCUUUGUUUGACAGUUACAGAUUUGAAAAACAAAAAGGCGGGAAUAAUGAACCGUAAACUCUAACACAAACAACCAUUUCAGCAUAUAACUGUAACGGCGUGACACCAUGUCCUAGCCAGACGCAACGCAACGCCACGACACGCGAUAAAAGGCACAGGUCUCCACAGACAUGCUGGGAUAGACCUUCACUACCAUGUUCCUGCUGGAGUCCAGGAAGAGCACAGCCAGAGAGCUCAUCUUGUCAGGCACGCAGCACGGCUCUGGAACUCCAGGCACGAUCCCCACGGCUCUCACUAUACUCUGGAUGGUCGCAUGAUUGGAUGGAUGAACAACCUGCAUUAAGAGAAGUAAAAGUUAGAGAAAAGCUUCUGUCAUUUUCCAAGGAAAGAUUGCUGGCUCCAGCUAAAUAACCAUUUUGACUGAUUCGGUCAUGGAUGUCCAUGGGCCAUGAAAACCUCUGUCAGUCGCCUCAUCUGUGCCAAGAUUCAUCAGUGACUUGCUUUUUGACAGCUCCAGUUUCUCAGAAAUAUCUGGCAUAUAGAGACCGCUCGUGCAUAACAGAGCUAAAUCAGCUAUAUUUGCAUUUCCUGAAGGAAAUACCAGCGUGUGCAAUGCAAUAAAAGUGAUCCAGAAUUCAGAGCUUGCUGAAACUCUACCGUUGCCAAAACACUUGUUUUCUGCAUGGCAGAAUUGACACAAAUUAUAUGCAAAUAGAUGUAAAUGCAUAUAUGCAAAUAUCACAGUGACAUAACUCAGUCAUUUUUGGAACCAAACAUUAAACCAAUGGGAGAUUUCAAAAUGUAGAACAUGUCUUUGAAGUUUCAGCUCAAAAUACCCC